AAUGUAGGGUACAGAGGUAAGAUGUUCUAUCUUUCAGUGUCAGAACUUAGUUCUAACCGGAAAGUAGGCUUACUAUUAGCCGCCCCACUGCUUGCAGUGGGGCGUUUUUUU
rnacentral:other from 1 species